rnacentral:pre_miRNA from 1 species
AGCUGGCGUUUGUUUUAUUUGGUAGCAGUGAUUGAAACUAUCAUAAGACACACGCGGCUAU